CCUACGGGAGGCAGCAGUCGAGAAUCAUUCACAAUGGGGGAAACCCUGAUGGUGCGACGCCGCGUGGGGGAAUGAAGGUCUUCGGAUUGUAAACCCCUGUCAUGUGGGAGCAAAUUAAAAAGAUAGUACCACAAGAGGAAGAGACGGCUAACUCUGUGCCAGCAGCCGCGGUAAUACAGAGGUCUCAAGCGUUGUUCGGAAUCACUGGGCGUAAAGUGUGCGUAGGCUGUUUCGUAAGUCGUGUGUGAAAGGCGCGGGCUCAACCCGCGGACGGCACAUGAUACUGCGAGACUAGAGUAAUGGAGGGGGAACCGGAAUGCUCGGUGUAGCAGUGAAAUGCGUAGAUAUCGAGAGGAACACUCGUGGCGAAGGCGGGUUCCUGGACAUUAACUGACGCUGAGGCACGAAGGCCAGGGGAGCGAAAGGGAUUAGAUACCCCUGUAGUC
rnacentral:rRNA from 1 species